CGCGGCCUAUCAGCUUGUUGGUGGGGUAAUGGCCUACCAAGGCGACGACGGGUAGCCGGCCUGAGAGGGCGACCGGCCACACUGGGACUGAGACACGGCCCAGACUCCUACGGGAGGCAGCAGUGGGGAAUAUUGCGCAAUGGGCGAAAGCCUGACGCAGCGACGCCGCGUGAGGGACGAAGGUCUUCGGAUUGUAAACCUCUUUCAGCAGGGACGAAGCGAAAGUGACUGUACCUGCAGAAGAAGCACCGGCUAACUACGUGCCAGCAGCCGCGGUAAUACGUAGGGGGCGAGCGUUGUCCGGAAUCAUUGGGCGUAAAGAGCUCGUAGGCGGUUCAGUAAGUCGGGUGUGAAAGCUCCGAGCUCAACUCGGAGAGGCCACUCGAUACUGCUGUGACUAGAAUCCAGUAGGGGAGUGUGGAACUCCUGGUGUAGCGGUGAAAUGCGCAGAUAUCAGGAAGAACACCAGCGGCGAAGGCGGCACUCUGGGCUGGUAUUGACGCUGAGGAGCGAAAGUGUGGGUAGCAAACAGGAUUAGAUACCCUGGUAGUCCACACCGUAAACGUUGGGCACUAGGUGUGGGGAGGAUCAACCCUUUCCGUGCCGUAGCUAACGCAUUAAGUGCCCCGCCUGGGGAGUACGGA
rnacentral:rRNA from 1 species